rnacentral:piRNA from 1 species
UGGUUAGUAUAUUAUCUGGUUGAAGUGUC